ACGCUCGACACCUACGAGAGGCAGCAGUAGGGAAUCUUCCACAAUGGGCGCAAGCCUGAUGGAGCAACACCGCGUGAGUGAAGAAGGGUUUCGGCUCGUAAAGCUCUGUUGUUGGAGAAGAACGUGCGUGAGAGUAACUGUUCACGCAGUGACGGUAUCCAACCAGAAAGUCACGGCUAACUACGUGCCAACAGCCGCGGUAAUCUGAGCGGGCUGGCAAGGC
rnacentral:rRNA from 1 species